AUUGCUGUAAAGUGCAAUGCAUUCUGGGGUCACGUGACGGAUUAACUCAAUGUACAGAAUAUUGCUGUAAAUUUCAAAUCUACAAUGGCGGGAUGAUCUUCAACAGUCGAGAUUGGGGUAGUGCGCAAAAUGAAUGAUUCACACCUGUGGACACACUUUGCCAUGCAGGCCACUGGAUGCUGACUACUGAAGGUUAGGUUCUGUGUGACGGUUCUCAGCACAGCUUCAUGUCUGGCCUUCCCACUCUGUUCAUAGCAUGUUACAUAUUCAGGCUUGAGUACCAGGAUGGGUCAGCGUGUCUCUUGGAGUCCACUGAAAGAGAGUGGAACAAGCAGCGUCAUCUAAAAUGCCAGGAUACAGAAGAAACAGGUUGCAGUGAACCCACAUGUCGCCGCUCUUCUAAACACAAUGAUGAAUAUUCAGUGUAAUCGAUGAAAAUUCCAGCUACUUGUUGUGCUCUGAUGGAUCAAGAUGUGGACCGUUUUACAGACUCACUUGGGCCUUGUUUUGCAAUGUUGUUUCAUGAUGGUAAUGUUGGUUAACGUGUUGUUUAAACAUGAAUGUUUAAAGAGCCAUGUUGGAUACUAUGAAGUUCUUACUGAAUAAAAUUAUUUCAUGUACAACAACGUACACAAUUUGUCUGUAAUGUAUUUUUGUAUCAAUUAAAAAAAAAUAAACACUGUAUAUCCAGUAUGCAAAACAUACUGGAUAUACAGUGAUUUAUGUAUUUCUUCUAAAUAAAGUAAAUUAAAAUCAAGCAAUUUGCUGUAAAAAAUACAGCAUUAUACUGUUGCUAUUCAAAAUUACAGUUUUUCCUGUAUUCUGCAAUUACAGUAAAUGGCUGUAAAUUAAAUUACAGUACUGUGGCUGUACAAUUUACAGUAACUGGCUGGCAACCCUGCUGCCAGUAGUUUACUGUAAAUUUUACAGGAUUU